rnacentral:rRNA from 1 species
UACGUAGGGUCCGAGCGUUAUCCGGAAUUACUGGGCGUAAAGAGUUCGUAGGCGGAUUUUUAAGUCAGGUGUUAAAUAUGCAGGCUCAACUUGCAUGCUGCAUCUGAUACUGGAAGUCUUGAGAGUGGAAGAGGUAAGCGGAAUUUCCGGUGGAGCGGUAAAAUGCGUAGAUAUCGGAAAGAACACCAAUGGCGAAGGCAGCUUACUGGGCCAUUUCUGACGCUGAGGAACGAAAGCGUGGGGAGCGAUCGGG